GGCACAGCCGAGCCCUCUCCCGAUCUCCCAUACUUUGUGCCCUAGCAGUGGUUGAAGUGGAGGAUGUUUCGGUCGCGAGGCAACUGUAGAGUCCUCAGAUUUGGGAGGGACAGUGAUUUCAUCUACGCUGGCAGAGAGUUAUACCAGCUAUACCUCAUUGGUGGAGCCAUCAAUUCUGGAUUUGAGUUGGAUGCGAUCUCUUGGACUUAUUGAGGACGGUUGAUACGACAUGCGUAUGA